rnacentral:rRNA from 1 species
ACGGCGGACGGGUGAGUAACGCGUAGGCAACCUGCCCUUUGCAGAGGGAUAGCCUCGGGAAACCGGGAUUAAAACCUCAUGAAGCUGAGAGUCCGCAUGGGGAUUCAGCCAAAGAUUUAUCGGCAAAGGAUGGGCCUGCGUCUGAUUAGUUAGUUGGUGGGGUAACGGCCUACCAAGGCGACGAUCAGUAGCCGACCUGAGAGGGUGAUCGGCCACAUUGGAACUGAGACACGGUCCAAACUCCUACGGGAGGCAGCAG